GAGGGAAGCAACUUUCAAUGCAAUCGCCCGGACUACAGAAAGGAUCUUUGGGUUUGAAACAAGUGUUUUCAGAGUGAAAUUACCUGUAUGCAAUAAUAAAGGAAUAAGGGUUUGCUCCUCCCGAUGCAGGCUGCUGUUGACAGAGCUACAAGGUGAGCUCCAAGGAGUCAAAUUAUUUUGCACAAUUUCUUGUUCUAGCUUUUUCUUCAUUCUGACUCAUUUCCCUCAUCAUCUUGCUACUUUAUAAAGAGCUGUAUGAAAAAUUGUGUGUACACUUUUCAAUCUGAAAUGUAUGUUUUUGUAAGCCACCUUCCCUGAUGCGUUUUUGUCUGUGCUUUUCAGUGCAGGUUUUAAAGGUGCGGACCGUGGUUGCCUUGUUCAGAAGAGCACUAUCAGCUUAUGACUGACUUGAGUCUCGAUUCAGAUACAACUUCAGGAGCUGCGAAAGCUAGGAACGUUCAUAAUUAAAAUAUGAAAUUUCUCUUCCCUCCUAGGAGAUGAUAAUGUGAAGAAUGAACUGUAUGUCAUGUCUGAAGCUUGUUUAAUGUGAGCUUCCUGGAAUGAGUAGAAUCAGAUGACUUGUAAAUGAAUUUUAAAAAUGAAACAAAGCCGUAUGGACAAGAAAUUAUGGCCCGACUCUUCGAAGGUGCGCUAACACCAUCAAUCCUUUUUUUCCUGUGGGAAUGGUACAUUUAACUGGGAUCAGAGAGAGGCACUUUCUCCUCUGCGAGGAAAGCGCCACAUCUUCGUAUUCCAAGGGAGUCAAAACUGGGAGAAUUGACAACCUGGUACAAGCACUGCAUGCAGCAUUGUCGGUGGUGAUGAAAAUAAAUGGAAGCAGCACAUGGAUAGCUCAGAAAUCAAUCACGGCACACGGCUAUCCAGACAUCUUGCCUAGAUUUCUGAAGACUCAUGGACUGAACAGUUCCCCUACAAAAAGCACAGAGGUGAAGUAGGCAGAAAAAAA